UCUGUUUAAUUCAAAUAAUGUACAUCCCUAAUCCUGACACAAAUCCUCACCAUAUCACCAAUGUUACACCAAUAAUGUGAUGAAUACAGUAUAUAAGUCUCUGUGUUAAUUGUAUAGAAAUGUUAAUGGAUUAGAACUAGAUUCCCUCUGUAAACCUUACAGCUUUGAUUACUGUACAAACUGCUUUUAUAGGUCAUGUAGUAGUUAAUAAUGUAUUUUAUGCAAAUCUUCCUCUCAUCACCCUUACAUUAGGUAGGGCUGUGUGUGUGAGUGUGUGUGGUGAAGAGGACAGCAGCUGAGCAGUUUAAUUCACUUCAGUUUUAAACCAAACAAAGAUGCUCUCCUCAGUGCUGCUGCUAACAGCUGCAUUCUGUGGUGGUGGAGGUGUGGAGCUCACUCAGCCAGCCUCUGUACUUGUGAAACCUGGAGAGUCGUUCUCUAUCUCUUGCAAGACUUCAGAGUCAAGCUAUUGUAUUGGCUGGAUACGUCAACCUGCUGGGAAAACACUUGAAUGGCUCGGAUAUCUGUGUAGUGGUGGUAGCACUAAUCUCAAAGAUACAAU